rnacentral:sRNA from 1 species
UUAAGGACAGCACUGACCUUCUCAGGGU